AUGCAGAGACUCGGGUUCGAUCCCCUGGGGAGGGAAGAUUCCCCUGGUGUAGGACAUGGCUCCCCACUCCAGUAUUCUUGCCUGGAAAAUCCCACGGACAGAGAAGCCUGGCGGCCUACAGUCCAUGGGGCCGCAAUGAGUCAGACACGACUGAGCAGCACCAGCAGUAGGAGCACCUCACAGCAGCCCAGCGCCCCUGCGAUGGGUGACCGAGUUCCCCCGGGAAGGAUGGCUUUUUCCAGAAGCCCCUCUCCUGAACCCCCGCCCAGCACGGGCUCUCCUGUUCUGCUGACCGGAAGCCCAGGGGCUCCACAAAGCAGCCCUUCCGCCAGGUCAGAACACUCAAUCCUGCCCAGGAUUUUCACCUGCUUCUACUACAUGCAGCGAGGAACCCAGAAGCCCCCAAAGCACCUUUAUCUCCCAGCCAUCCCCGACCCUGCCCUGGAGUCUCUCGGGCAGAGGGGAUGCCUCCUUUGCUUAAGGAGUCUCCAAAGAACAGCCGGGGAGCCGCCUGUCUCUGCUUCACAUCCACAUCGUUCUCCACGAAGGGUAGAGGUGGAUGCGGUUCCCAUCCCUGCUGUCCGCAGCCUGAGGACACUGCCGGGUGGACAUCUGGGAAGCGUGCCCAGUCAGCAGGAGCGCCCCGGGUGCUGCCAAGUCAGCACAGCCUGGGGAGGAGGGUGUGGGGCGGGGCACCUGGGCCUACCUCUCACCUCCACCUUCAACCCUGUCCGCCCCAGCCUGUCUCUGCCCUCCGUCUGGCCCAGAUGGGAGGUACCUGCUCCAUCCUGUCCCACAUCAGCUCCAAAUUAUCGACUGCACCGGCUCUGCACCCCAGCAUAUAUUUAUCACCCUACCUCCCAGGCCCUCAGUUGGGUCUUGCUUGUACUUUCAGCCACCCCAGGAGUGAGAGGAUGGAAGGAGAGAGGGCAGAGAUGGCUGUGCCUGCCUCCACACCCUCCCCUUGGCUGGGGAGGUGCUGAGAUGAGCCAGGUGGUAGGAUCCCAGCCAGUGGUACUGCCUGGUUGGUCAAGUUCGUGGUCGCCAAGGUGGCCUGCUCAGCAUCCACCCCCAGUGGAUCCACCCCAGCCCUGAAACCCCCUUGCUGAAUCCUAUUUAUAGAGAUGGGAUUGUGGACCCAUUAUACAGAUGAGGACAUCAAGGUUCAGCACUGCAAAGGAACCAACCCGAGGCCACACUCUACCUGGGGAGUGGCAGGGCCCGGAUGCAACUCAGAUCUGAAUCCAUCUCCUACAGGGCACUGUCACCCAAGGUUAGCUUCAAAGAUUAAGGUGCCUUGGGUGAGAAGGGAUUGUUUAACAGAUAACCAAAAGGCCAACUUUAAUUCAAAAUGCAAAUUGGGGUUGAUUCUUCUCUCAUUCCAUUCACAAAGAGGCCCAGACAUAUGAGACCAGUGUAAGGAACUUAAAUGAGGGUAAGAGGAAAAUUGUUUCAGAGUCGAGAUGCUGGUGUAGCCAUUUCUGGGGUUUCCUUCCCUGGACGUAUUUUAUGAGAGCACCACUUCCUUCCUUGUUUGAAGUGACUUAGGUGUGGUGUUCUCUAAGUCAAAGGCCAAACAAGAUGGCUCUUGAAAUCCCCGUAGCUUUCUUAGGGUCAGUGGUCCCCAAAUUAAGAAAAGUGUUUUGUUGCCCCCAGAACAUUGCCAAGCCUUGGGAGAUCCCCCAAGCUAAGUGAUAAGAGGGACAGGAGGGCAGUACAGGUGAAUUAUGGGAACUGCCGUUUACACAGUUUCAUACAUGUGCUCUGAUUGUGGUUUACCACCCAUCCUGGACACCUUGGCUUUCCCAUCAAUAGAAUGGGCAUGUGUUGGAUACCCGCUAGUGAUCUAGGUCUGUUCCUAUCUCUUUCCUUCCAGACUGGGAGGUCAGAGACCAAUGACCUCGCUCUAGUAUCAGAAUCCCCAGCACUCAGUAGUGAAUGAGUGAAUGGAUGGAUGAAUGAAUGAAUGGACAGAUGAACAUAUGAAUCAUAACAGCCGAUUGUGUAGUGGUGUACCGAGUUAUCUCAGACCAGCUUGUGAGAACAAAUGAUUAAACAUUCAAGAGUUUUGCAAGCCCAUUGUUCAGUUACUGGU
ensembl:lncRNA